UGAUUGCAGUGGCUCUCUCUCUCUUGCAUAAAAAAAUACUAAUAAAUAAAAUAAAAAGUUCCCACUAGGUUUUCUAUUUGCUACUUAGCUAGCAGUCAACCUAUUGGGAACAUUU